CACUGAACAGAUUGUGAAAAUCCUCAGCUUGUACACACCAGUGAAUGAGUUUGAGGAGAGAGUGUCUAUAUUAUUCAUAAAGUCUGUACAGACUUUAUUAAAGGAUCGUAAGGAGUCUUCUCAGUUACUGAUGGAUGCUAAGAUCAUUUUCCCAGUCACCUUCCCCUUCAGCCCUUCACCUGUGGCCCUUGAGACCAUCCAGAUCCCCAGCAGCCUCAACCUGAACUUCCUGACACGAGUUUAAAAACACACCAGUGAUGUCGUCAUGGAAACUACAGAACAGAAUAGAGGCUUGGAUUGUAUUUGUGGUCACAUCUUCUGGGAUGUUUGUGUUUACAUU